AUACUGAAUAAGGUUUGCUUGGUAACGUCACUAGAUUUUAUUUUGAAUCUCUAAGCCAGGGGCUUCUACUGAAAAAGAGCUGUGCAAGACACCCCCGGCAGUAGCAAGGAAGCCCUCGGAGGGCUUUGGCAGUGGCGAUGGUGGCAAGCGGAGACCCCCGUGAGGCCUCCAGCAGCGGCGGGGAAGCCCUCAGAGGGCUUUGGCAGCAGCGAGGGACCCCUUUGGACUGCAAGGAGCUUCAUAUGUGAGUUCCUGGAGAUUGCUUCUUCUGCAAAGACACCUCACCUAAAGACAAUAUGCUAACAGUUAGAACCUACAUGUAUCCCUAUAUACAUAA